UACGGAGGAGGCAAGCGUUAUCCGGAAUUAUUGGGCGUAAAGCGUCCGCAGGUGGCACCUCAAGUCUGCUGUCAAAGACCGGGGCUUAACUUCGGAAAGGCAGUGGAAACUGAACAGCUAGAGUAUGGUAGGGGCAGAGGGAAUUCCCGGUGUAGCGGUGAAAUGCGUAGAGAUCGGGAAGAACAUCGGUGGCGAAGGCGCUCUGCUGGACCAUAACUGACACUCAGGGACGAAAGCUAGGGGAGCGAAUGGG
rnacentral:rRNA from 1 species